GCCGAGGUAGCCCAAUCGGUAGAGGCGUCCCGCUCAAAAUGGGAUCAGUGCGGGUUCGAGUCCCGCUCACGGCAC
rnacentral:tRNA from 1 species